AUAUACACACCCUAACCUUCUAGAUCAUCAACCAGUAACCCUUAUAAAUAUGCAAUGUGUUUUAUUGUCAUUUCUCUGCAUGUUAAAGUGAAAAAAUUCAACCAAGUGCAGGUAAACGAUGGGAUUAACUAUGACUAUCUUAAGGUAGCCAGAUGCCUCAUAAUCCAAUUACUGAUGCACAUGAAUGUAUCAUUAAUGAUAUUCUCCACUAUCCCUAGCUAUCGUAUUCUAGAGAAACCACAUCCAAGGGAAUGGGCAUGGAAGA
rnacentral:ncRNA from 1 species